rnacentral:misc_RNA from 1 species
AAUAUGAUGCUCCCUAAAUUUGUUUCGUGGAGGAAGGAGUUAACUUGGUCAUAAAGAAUUGGCCAAAUUUUCAGUUUCUUGCCCCCAAUGAAACAACUUUGAACAAGAGAACAAAGGGUGUGCUUUGUUUUCUGAACUAUAUACCAUUGAUUUUGAAAGACGAAAGUUUCAAUGCCACUGUUUGCUCUCAUCUUAGCAUCGUCACAUGAAAGAUGUGGCUAUUUCAUAUCUCUUUUCUCCAGCCUCCGAACAUGACAAAGUAAUAAAUGACACUCGACUUUAAGUUAAGGCUGUGAGUGGUUAACUGGUUACCAUGAAUGAUAUGGAUGUCCUGAACAAGUAAUAAAUCCUACUUGGUGAUACAUCCACCACAACUUUGGCUGUAGUCAACCUUCCAUUUUCCAUGUAUUAAACCAAUUUGAAAAGGUUUUUCUAUGAUACCCCGUGAGUGUUCUUUCUUUUCUUUUCUUGAAGGACAAGUUGUCAAGAUUCGCACCCUCCAUAUCCUACCUUGUGCUCUGUGCUCUUUUACCAUGAACAGACCUUAUUUUUUUCAUCAAAACCAUGGUGACUGAUUAUACUCUGAGGACAGUAUAGAAUAACCAAUUUUGAAACUACUAAUCUAUCUUGAUAAA